rnacentral:tRNA from 1 species
UGGGGAAUAGCUCAGUGGUAGAGUGCAUGCUUGGCAUGCACAAGGUCCUGGGCUCAAUUCCCAGUACCUCCA